rnacentral:rRNA from 1 species
GCUUGCUCCUUGGGUGGCGAGUGGCGGACGGGUGAGGAAUACAUCGGAAUCUGCCUAUUUGUGGGGGAUAACGUAGGGACUUACGCUAAUACCGCAUACGACCUACGGGUGAAAGCGGAGGACCUUCGGGCUUCGCGCAGAUAGAUGAGCCGAUGUCGGAUUAGCUAGUUGGCGGGGUAAAGGCCCACCAAGGCGACGAUCCGUAGCUGGUCUGAGAGGAUGAUCAGCCACACUGGAACUGAGACACGGUCCAGACUCCUACGGGAGGCAGCAGUGGGGAAUAUUGGACAAUGGGCGCAAGCCUGAUCCAGCCAUGCCGCGUGGGUGAAGAAGGCCUUCGGGUUGUAAAGCCCUUUUGUUGGGAAAGAAAAGCAGCCGGUUAAUACCCGGUUGUUCUGACGGUACCCAAAGAAUAAGCACCGGCUAACUUCGUGCCAGCAGCCGCGGUAAUACGAAGGGUGCAAGCGUUACUCGGAAUUACUGGGCGUAAAGCGUGCGUAGGUGGUUUGUUAAGUCUGAUGUGAAAGCCCUGGGCUCAACCUGGGAAUUGCAUUGGAUACUGGCAGGCUAGAGUGCGGUAGAGGGUAGUGGAAUUCCCGGUGUAGCAGUGAAAUGCGUAGAGAUCGGGAGGAACAUCCGUGGCGAAGGCGACUACCUGGACCAGCACUGACACUGA